rnacentral:rRNA from 1 species
AUGAACGCUGGCGGCGUGCCUAAUACCUGCCAGUCGAGCGAACAGACGAGGAGCUUGCUCCUCUGACGUUAGCGGCGGACGGGUGAGUAACACGUGGAUAACCUACCUAUAAGACUGGGAUAACUUCGGGAAACCGGAGCUAAUACCGGAUAAUAUAUUGAACCGCAUGGUUCAAUAGUGAAAGACGGUUUUGCUGUCACUUAUAGAUGGAUCCGCGCCGCAUUAGCUAGUUGGUAAGGUAACGGCUUACCAAGGCGACGAUGCGUAGCCGACCUGAGAGGGUGAUCGGCCACACUGGAACUGAGACACGGUCCAGACUCCUACGGGAGGCAGCAGUAGGGAAUCUUCCGCAAUGGGCGAAAGCCUGACGGAGCAACGCCGCGUGAGUGAUGAAGGUCUUCGGAUCGUAAAACUCUGUUAUUAGGGAAGAACAAAUGUGUAAGUAACUAUGCACGUCUUGACGGUACCUAAUCAGAAAGCCACGGCUAACUACGUG